UUACAAGUAGUCAGAGCCCGUUAAUGGGUGAUGGCGUGCCUUUUGUAGAAUGAACCGGCGAGUUACGAUUUGAUGCAAGGUUAAGCAGUAAAUGUGGAGCCGUAGCGAAAGCGAGUCUGAAUAGGGCGUUUAGUAUUUGGUCGUAGACCCGAAACCAGGUGAUCUACCCUUGGUCAGGUUGAAGUUCAGGUAACACUGAAUGGAGGACCGAACCGACUUACGUUGAAAAGUGAGCGGAUGAACUGAGGGUAGCGGAGAAAUUCCAAUCGAACCUGGAGAUAGCUGGUUCUCUCCGAAAUAGCUUUAGGGCUAGCCUCAAGUGAUGAUUAUUGGAGGUAGAGCACUGUUUGGACGAGGGGCCCCUCUCGGGUUACCGAAUUCAGACAAACUCCGAAUGCCAAUUAAUUUAACUUGGGAGUCAGAACAUGGGUGAUAAGGUCCGUGUUCGAAAGGGAAACAGCCCAGACCACCAGCUAAGGUCCCAAAAUAUAUGUUAAGUGGAAAAGGAUGUGGCGUUGCCCAGACAACUAGGAUGUUGGCUUAGAAGCAGCCAUCAUUUAAAGAGUGCGUAAUAGCUCACUAGUCGAGUGACACUGCGCCGAAAAUGUACCGGGGCUAAACAUAUUACCGAAGCUGUGGAUUGUCCUUUGGACAAUGGUAGGAGAGCGUUCUAAGGGCGUUGAAGCAUGAUCGUAAGGACAUGUGGAGCGCUUAGAAGUGAGAAUGCCGGUGUGAGUAGCGAAAGACGGGUGAGAAUCCCGUCCACCGAUUGACUAAGGUUUCCAGAGGAAGGCUCGUCCGCUCUGGGUUAGUCGGGUCCUAAGCUGAGGCCGACAGGCGUAGGCGAUGGAUAACAGGUUGAUAUUCCUGUACCAC
rnacentral:rRNA from 1 species